GGACCAAUGAAGGAAUUAUUGGCAUGCACUAAAGGAGAUAGCAAGAUGGGUCAGACACACAUAUGAGAGUCAUUGGCAACACCCGGGUAAUGUAAGAUCCUGCACCGGCUGGGGGCUCCAGAGAGGAACAGUAGGGAAGAAUGUCUGUCCUGAACAUCUGUCCCUUCUGCAGCCCCCAUUUUCCUCUCCGCCCUGGCGCACCCAGCCCCAGCCCUGCUUCCUGUGGACGUCAGGUAGUGAUGCUCUUCCCCUCAGGCCUAGAUAAAGGUAGGGUAGGCAAGGCCCAGCCACUGAGCUCACAGAAGGCAGCACCAGGCAUCCAGACUGGCGGGGGCGCAAGGUAGCGGGGACUCAUCUCUGGAGAAGGAGUUCCUCGGGGCCCCAGUGGGGCCCUCGGUGAGCACCCCCAACAGCCAGCACUCUUCUCCCAGCCGCUCACUCAGUGCCAACUCCAUCAAGGUGGAGAUGUACAGCGAUGAGGAGUCAAGCAGA
rnacentral:sRNA from 1 species